GGCGCAAACUUGAAGUAGAGUAGAUUAUUAUGGUCAGCUGAUCCUAGAAAUCUACUCUACUUCAAAUUUGGGCCC
rfam:Haemonchus contortus, ISE/inbred ISE, WGS project CAVP01000000 data, contig: Hcontortus_27829